UACGUAGGCAGCGAGCGUUGUUCGGAAUUACUGGGCGUAAAGAGUGUGUAGGCGGUGUUCCAAGUUCGGUGUGAAAUCUCCCGGCUUAACUGGGAGGGUGCGCCGAAAACUGGAAAUGCUCGAGCGUGGGAGAGGGAAAGGAGACGGAAGUUACCUUCUGGGGUUGGUUAAGCCGGGGUUGAAAAAUGGCGUAGGAAUAAUUCCAGGG
rnacentral:rRNA from 1 species